CGCGCCCGCAGGCGAGGCGAGCGCGCCCCUCGGGCUGCCAGAGGGCGGGGUCGGGCGGCCCCGCCCCUCCCAUCAGGCCCCGCCCCGUCCCUGGCGGCGCCGCAUCGAGGCGGCCAUUUUGUGGCGCGGGGCGGUCGGCGGCGCUGGGCUCGGCGCGGAGCGGGGCCCGGGGCGGGUCGGCUCCGGUCUCACCCUUUUCCCGUGCGGAUCCCUCGCUUACUCCUUAUCACCUUCAUACUUCCGUUCCUUGCUUGCCUACAGGUUUGACUUCUUGUGCUUCCUGUAGGAAAAGCCUUUUUUCAGGUAGACUUCUUAUAAGAGUCAGAAGUCGAAGUCCAGUUACUGCUGCAGUUUUACAACAGUGUUUGGAAUGUUUGCAGCCGUAUAAGCAACGAGUUUCUUCUUGGUGUGUGGUUUCAGCACAGCUGUGGUCAUCCACUUGCAAGGUCUUCUGA
rnacentral:lncRNA from 1 species